UGGUCAAUAGCCUAACGGCUGAACCAGCAACUUGGAGGAAUGAAAAGCAAAGCUAACUGCAUUUAGAUUGUCCCUUUUUAUUUUAAAAGUUUGAAAUCCUUUUAAAGAGGAAGGGUCCAUUUUUUAUGUAGUUACUAUUUUUUAGUUUAAAAUUCUAGAUAGAAUUAUGAUGAUGACAUUAUCUAUCUAUUAGUCUUGACCAAAUUGCGUGCCAGCAGUCGCGGUAAUACGCAGAAGACAAGUGUUAUUCAUCUUUAUUGGGUUUAAAGAGUACCAAGACGGUUAAUAAAGCCUAGUCAUAUAAGAUAAAAAGGGACACAUUAACUAGAGUUAUAUGAAAGGAAGCUAUAAGGUACUGCUGUGUGUAGAGAUAAAAUUCAUUAAUACCAGAAUAAGGCACAGAUUUAUGCGAAGGCAUCUUCUUAUGUAAUAACUGACGUUGUAGGACGAAGGCUUUUGUAGUGAAAAGGAUUAGAGACCCAAGUAAUCUAAGCAGAAAAUGAUGAAUGUCAUAGGUUUAAUAUAUUAUUGAGUCUAUAAAUGAAAGUGUAAGCAUUCCACCUCAAGAGUAAUUUGGCAACAUUGGAACUGAAAUCAUUAGACCGUUUCUGAAAUCAGUAGUGAAGUAUGUUGUUUAAUUAGAUGAUACACAAAAAACCUUACCACAAUUUGAAUAUAUAUCUUUAAAGAUAUUUACAAGCGUUGCACGGCUGUCUUCAGUUAAUGUCGUGAGAUUUUGGUUAGUUCCAAAAAAUUAACGUAAACCCUCGUUUUAUUUAGAAAUAAAAUUUAGAUCUAUUUCAAUUGAAUUGAGAUAAGAAAA
rnacentral:rRNA from 1 species